rnacentral:lncRNA from 1 species
UUAAACAAAAAAAAAUACUUAUUUCAUCUUAGGGGCACGUGAAGAUGAGAACACUCUUCACAUGGAGUCACGUGGACUUACUUUUUUCUCACUGGUACUGAUACAAUAUUUUUAGCUUCAGAACUUUUAUAUGGAUAUAGGCCAAUAAUUGAGAUUGUCGGCUCGUAUCAAAUCACUAAUUUAUCGGCCGAACAACUCCUUUGGCACAGAUAAAUAUUAUUGGUAAAUAAUAAACUACAUCAGUCUGAUUUGUUUCAAUAUUAUAAAAAUGUAUGAUGAAAAUAUAUAUCGCUUAAUAACAUCCGCC